rnacentral:rRNA from 1 species
GACGAACGCUGGCGGCGUGCUUAACACAUGCAAGUCGAACGGAAAGGCCCUGGUUUGGUGUGCUGCUCGAGUGGCGAACGGGUGAGUAACGCGUGAGUAACCUGCCCGUGAGUUGGGGAUAACUUCAGGAAACUGUGGCUAAUACCGCAUAAGAGUUGCUGCUGCAUGGUGGUUGCUGGAAAGGUGCGGCGGCUUGGGUUGUACGCGCGGCUGCUGAGCUUGUUGGAGUGGGAGUGGUAUACAAAGGCUUAGGCGGGGAGCCGGCCUGAGAGGGUGACCGGCCACAUUGGGCUUGGGGUAGGGGCAAGACUCCUACGGGAGGCAGCAGUGGAGAAUAUUGCACAAUGGGCGGCAGCCUGAUGCAGCAACGCCGCGUCGGGGAUGACGGUCUUCGGGUUGUAAACCGCUUUCGCCUGUGACGAAGCGUGAGUGACGGUAAUGGGUAAAGAAGCAACGGCUAACUACGUG